rnacentral:snRNA from 1 species
AGCUUUGCACAGUGCCAGUAUUGUAGCCACUGAGGUUUAUCUGAGGCACAAUUACUGCCAAUAGAAUUUGAAUGCAAGAACUCACAAGUCUGCAGUCAAGGUGUUAGCAGGGGCCAUGGUUUAAUUUGAGGAUACAGACUCUCUU